GGAAUAUUGGACAAUGGGGGAAACCCUGAUCCAGCCAUGCCGCGUGAGUGAUGAAGGCCCUCGGGUCGUAAAGCUCUGUGGGGAGCCACGAACCCCCGCCGGUUAAUACCCGGCGGGCUGACGGUAGCUCCUUAGCAAGCACCGGCUAACUCCGUGCCAGCAGCCGCGGUAAUACGGAGGGUGCAAACGUUGCUCGGAAUCAUUGGGCGUAAAGCGCACGUAGGCGGUGUCGUAAGUCGGAUGUGAAAGCCCUAGGCUUAACCAAGGAAGUGCAUUCGAAACUGCGAGACUUGAGUACAGGAGAGGGUCGCGGAAUUCUCGGUGUAGAGGUGAAAUUCGUAGAUAUCGGGAGGAACACCAGUGGCGAAGGCGGCGACCUGGACUGAUACUGACGCUGAGGUGCGAAAGCGUGGGGAGCAAAC
rnacentral:rRNA from 1 species